AGUGCUGGGAUUAAAGGUGUGCGCCACUACCACCUGGUUGGCAUAAUACUUUGAUUAGUUGUCUGCUCAGAGUCUCACAAGGGUAAACUCAAAGUGACAGCUGACCCUGGCUCUUUCUUCAAGCUCAUACAGGUCAUUGCUGGCAGAAUUUAGUCCUCGUAGUUGCAAGGCUCCCAUUAACUGCUCUUCCCCGCUUCCACCCCCCCCCUUUUUUUUUUUAAUUUUGUUUUGGAAAAAAAAAAUGUCUUUAUCUUCUCAAGUCAAACCUGGUAGUCCCUGCCUACGGUUCCAACAUCUGUGAGCCUGUGAAGUGAAAAUGGGGAAACGAAGGGAGAAGUUUUCAGAUCGAAGCCCAUACUUGGCCAAGGGUCUGAUCCUAGAAGAAAUGACAAUCCCAGACCUCAAAUGCAGCUUCUUAGAAAAAAAAAAGGUGCUUGAACUGUCGCUGGCUGGAGAUCACCAACAACAAGGAGAGCAGGGACUCAUGUUCCACCCAACCAGGCCAAGCUCUUUGACCCAGUGAUGUCAUCUAUGAUGUCACUACCGCCUCAUCGGCACUGCCUGUUUUUGGUCUGAAUGAGAUGUGCCUUAUAAGUCCCAAGCCUGUGACUACUGGGCUCACAGUUGGUGGCUGUUGGAGGAGAAUUAGAAGGGAAAUAUAGCUAACGAUGGGACUGCUGGUGAUGAACGCCCAAACUGCAGGACUGGGGGAUGGCUCACUGGAGAAAUCAGUUGUCAGACAGAGUCCAGAUCACUGGGAUGGAUAUAGGAUGUGGUAACCUGCAAUCCCAGCCAUGAGUCUGAAGACUGACUGUAAAUUGAAGGCCUGCCUGAGACACAAAAAAAAAACAGUGGGACAAACAGCCACGUGUCUUUAGUGAGCAACCUGUACAUUCCGCCUACCAACAAGGCGAGAGCGAUCCUGUUGGAGCCACAGAAGGCACCGAAUUCUUCAGAGCAUCAAUGACUGUGUGAAAAAGCCUUGACUCGGUAUCAGUGGAAACAAUUCUCAUUAAUGUUGCCUAACAUUUUUGUAGAUGAAUGUUGACAAAAUUAAAGACUCUGAGGGCUGCUGAAUAAAUCUGGGGUUGCCUAAGAUCUGGAAUAGGCAGACGUUAUUAUACACAACACCUUCCUGGUGUGAAAAGGAAAUAAGGCAGUUUACAGUGGAAGGAUUUCCUUGCUUUCCCCCUCCUCCUCAGGAGAGGGGUACAAUCAGUGUUUAUUUAAUCAAAUGUGUUAACUUUUUAAAAAAUAAAUUCACUGUAUUAUAAAUAUAAAUUCAUUUAUUGCAUGUAUAAAUCCCGCUUUAAGUGUUUUGGAGUCACAAUGUGUGUUGAGCACUUUUUAAGUCUCUCUCCUUGACAUUGAAGACAAAAGUUCUCUCUCUCUCUCUCUCUCUCUCUCUCUCUCU